rnacentral:lncRNA from 1 species
CUUGCCAGCUCCUGCAUCUCCAGCCUCUCUGGCACAGCCUUGAAGGUGAAGGGGAGAUUUCUUCUAUGCUGUACAGAUGACUAUGAAGAUCAAAUGGACUCAGGUGCUGAGAGCUAAUGAAGCCAGCUGGGAGCUAACCUUAAUAUCUGAACUGAAUUUUUCAAAGGCUCAACUGAAAAGCUCUUUUGCAGGCAUUUUCUUGGCCUUUCUUGGGAAAGUUCCAGAAGCCCUUGAGUCUGGAUCCAUGCCCUAUUCUCGGAAACUCACUGUGUUUUCUGUGUCAUGGUCUUGGCGAGUUGUCUGUCCUCCUCUGCUGUCUUAUCACUGUUCUGAUGGCUUCAUGAGAGUAAGAACUUGCUCAUUCCUAUGCUGGAAGAGAUUACCAAUAAACCUUUGUGCAUAAUAAAUCUUUAUAGAAGCUACUCCUAGAUGUGAUUAUUACUUUACCCCUCUCUUCUCACUUUGCUUUCUGUGUCUUCUUGCUUUCAAAAGAUUCAUCUUGUCUCUCUCUCUCCCUCUGCGUGUGCUCAUAGGAAAGGCAGUAUUAUGUGGUUCAUAUAAGCCUCAAUGCCCCAAUGAAGAAUCAUAAUGGAGACACCUGGAG